CGGCGGACGGGUGAGUAACGCGUGGGUAACCUGCCUCAUACAGGGGGAUAACAGUUAGAAAUGACUGCUAAUACCGCAUAAGACCACGGUACCGCAUGGUACAGCGGUAAAAACUCCGGUGGUAUGAGAUGGACCCGCGUCUGAUUAGGUAGUUGGUGGGGUAACGGCCUACCAAGCCGACGAUCAGUAGCCGACCUGAGAGGGUGACCGGCCACAUUGGGACUGAGACACGGCCCAG
rnacentral:rRNA from 1 species